UGAGGUUGUGGUGUUGAAGUGUUGAGGUUGUGGUGUUGAGGUUGUGGUGAUGAGGUUGUGGUGUUGAGGUUUGUGGUGUUGAGGUUGUGGUGUUGAGGUUGUGGUGUUGAGGUUGUAGUUGUGGCGUUGAGGUUGUGGUGAUGAGGUUGUGGUGUUGAGGUUGUGGUGUUGUG